GAAUUGGUGUUAAUACUUUUUUUCCCCACAUACAGUUGGAGUUUUGUAAACAUUUUUGUGUUCGUAUCUUCUCGUCUAUACAGAAUCCCUGCGUCCUCUGCACCUGUGUGGAAAAUCUACAGCUGCUCUUCGAGUGACGUGACCUAGAUUUUAAAACAAAAACUGCCCAGGAGGCUUUCAGCUGUAGCCUUACAUUUUAACUGGAACUGAACUUUCCAAAAUCUCUUGGCAGAGGGCAGCUUGUUUAGAGAACCUGACUGGCUGGUAGCAGAAGACAGCAUCCAUAGCGGUGGUGUUUCUCUGUGCGAAGGUGAGAUAAGUGCUCUGAGGAGGACGGUGGCAGAGGGCGAACCACGUGAACAGUUUGUCUCCCAGGGACUGGAUAGCAGUAGUACAGAUGCAAAGCACCAGAU